AGAGAGCGAUCGAAAAGCUCCCUUGCUAUAUUUUAUUUAAUUUCUGCAAUAUCAGCCUGUUAACUUGACUGAUCAUGAAUUUCAUAAUGACAUAUUAACGAGCUCUUUAAUCGCAGCAGUUCGCUUUAUGGGCUUUCCCGCUAAUCAGUGACGAAAAUUCCAAAAUUUCGCAUCGCUGCUCACGAGUAUGUUGUUUUGAACUUGAAACAAGAUGCGCAGUUAGAAU